rnacentral:rRNA from 1 species
AGCGAACGCUGGCGGCAGGCCUAACACAUGCAAGUCGAACGAACCUUUCGGGGUUAGUGGCGGACGGGUGAGUAACACGUGGGAACGUGCCUUUAGGUUCGGAAUAACUCAGGGAAACUUGUGCUAAUACCGAAUGUGCCCUUCGGGGGAAAGAUUUAUCGCCUUUAGAGCGGCCCGCGUCUGAUUAGCUAGUCGGUUGAGGUAAUGGCUCACCAAGGCGACGAUCAGUAGCUGGUCUGAGAGGAUGAUCAGCCACAUUGGGACUGAGACACGGCCCAAACUCCUACGGGAGGCAGCAGUGGGGAAUCUUGCGCAAUGGGCGAAAGCCUGACGCAGCCAUGCCGCGUGAAUGAUGAAGGUCUUAGGAUUGUAAAAUUCUUUCACCGGGGACGAUAAUGACGGUACCCGGAGAAGAAGCCCCGGCUAACUUCGUG